UAAUACACCAAAUUGACAUUUACCGUUUCAUUUUUUCUUUUUUGAUUCUCCAGCCGAGAGCAGAGAACUGCUAUGCCCGAAAGGACACGAGCGGCGCGCAUCGCGCCGCUGGCUAGGCCUGCGCCGUCGGCGCUCCUCCUGGGCGCCUACCGCCGUCGGAAAACCUCCCAUCAUCGUCCAGCUUCCCGCCGCCAGAGACACUCCGGCUAGGCCGCCGCCGCCAGAGACCCUUGUACAAUGUCUCGAUGGGUUUUCCUUCCAAUCCCCAUCCUGAUGACACCCAUUGUUCUCCGGCAAGCGGCCCCAACUUCCUCAUCAGCGGGAGGAACGGUACACGCCCGACGCCGAUAUCUCACCUUAAGCCACGGCGCGGGCGAGAUGGACAUGGACAAGAUCGGCGAAGGAGCGAACGAGAUUGGAGGUGACAAAGCUGUUGUGGACGUAGCCGAGGAGGGCGGGGCGGGCGUGGAGCUCGUCGCGGCCCUGAUCUGGAACGGCGGUCUCGCACGCUGCUGCCCCAGGAGCUCCAGGCUGCCGCUGCUCCUCAGCGCGCAUGGCUGUUGUUGCCGAUCUAGCCGUGGCUCGCGCGUGUUCUGUAUUAAGGCAGCCAACAGCGCCCAGCUCUGCUCCGGUUAGCUAGCGCAGGCCAAGUUCAGUACCAGACUUUGUAGUCGAAGUUCAGGACUAAUGCGAACAAACUGAAAUCAAGGUGGAGAGAUAACCUGAAUUGGUGCUACACCCAAGCUGCGCAUUCCGAAUGUUGUAUUGUGAUAGGUGACUACGCGAGUGUAUAUAGAAGAUUUUGUGUACUUCUUGUACAUUGUUUAGAAGAAAUUUGAGUAUCUAUUCUUGCACAUUUAUAUAGGAGUUUUUUUUCA